GAUGUAUGGCUUUGGUGGGGAUGGUCUGUGGGUGGGUGGGUGAUGGGAGCUGGAGGGGAGUGUCUUUGGAUGUUUCCUUUUGACUCUUUUUUGUCCCUCUACCUGCGUGUACCGUUUUUUCUCCUGCCAGCCAAUGUGUCAUCUCUUUGUUUGUGUUUUUCUUUUCUUUUCUUUCCUUCCUUCGGGAGGGAGGGAGAGAGAGAGGAAACGUCCAGGGAGAUCUAUUACUUUGAAAAAAUUAGAGUGUUUAAAGCAGGCGUUUGCUCUGAAUACAUUAGCAUGGAAUAAUAAUCUAGGACUUCGGUUCUAUUUUGUUGGUUUCUAUAACUGAAGUAAUGAUUGAUAGGGAUAGUUGGGGGUGCUAGUAUUGGCCGGUCAGAGGUGAAAUUCUUGGAUUCGGUCAAGACUAACUUAUGCGAAAGCAUU
rnacentral:rRNA from 1 species